UACGAAGGGGGCUAGCGUUGCUCGGAAUCACUGGGCGUAAAGCGCACGUAGGCGGAUUGUUAAGUCAGGGGUGAAAUCCUGGAGCUCAACUCCAGAACUGCCUUUGAUACUGGCGAUCUUGAGUCCGGGAGAGGUGAGUGGAACUGCGAGUGUAGAGGUGAAAUUCGUAGAUAUUCGCAAGAACACCAGUGGCGAAGGCGGCUCACUGGCCCGGUACUGACGCUGAGGCGCGAAAGCGUGGGGAGCGAACAGG
rnacentral:rRNA from 1 species